GGUGGGUUGGCGUAAUGGCAACGCGUUAGUUUCCGGUUAGUCAAACCAGCUAAAGAUUCUGGGUUCGAGUCCCAGGCCCGUCG